GACGAACGCUGGCGGCGUGCUUAACACAUGCAAGUCGAACGGAAAGGCCCUGCUUUUGUGGGGUGCUCGAGUGGCGAACGGGUGAGUAACACGUGAGUAACCUGCCCUUGACUUUGGGAUAACUUCAGGAAACUGGGGCUAAUACCGGAUAGGAGCUCCUGCUGCAUGGUGGGGGUUGGAAAGUUUCGGCGGUUGGGGAUGGACUCGCGGCUUAUCAGCUUGUUGGUGGGGUAGUGGCUUACAAAGGCUUUGACGGGUAGCCGGCCUGAGAGGGUGACCGGCCACCUUGGGACUGAGAUACGGCCCAGACUCCUACGGGAGGCAGCAGUGGGGAAUAUUGCACAAUGGGCGGAAGCCUGAUGCAGCAACGCCGCGUGCGGGAUGACGGCCUUCGGGUUGUAAACCGCUUUCGCCUGUGACGAAGCGUGAGUGACGGUAAUGGGUAAAGAAGCACCGGCUAACUACGUG
rnacentral:rRNA from 1 species